GGGGAAUAUUGGACAAUGGGCGCAAGCCUGAUCCAGCCAUGCCGCGUGUGUGAUGAAGGCCUUAGGGUUGUAAAGCACUUUCGCCGAUGAAGAUAAUGACGGUAGUCGGAGAAGAAGCCCCGGCUAACUUCGUGCCAGCAGCCGCGGUAAUACGAAGGGGGCAAGCGUUGUUCGGAUUUACUGGGCGUAAAGCGUACGUAGGCGGAUGAUUAAGUCAGGGGUGAAAUCCCGGGGCUCAACCUCGGAACUGCCUUUGAUACUGGUCGUCUUGAGUCCGGGAGAGGUGAGUGGAACUCCUAGUGUAGAGGUGAAAUCCGUAGAUAUUAGGAAGAACACCAGUGGCGAAGGCGGCUCACUGGCCCGGAACUGACGCUGAGGUACGAAAGCGUGGGGAGCAAAC
rnacentral:rRNA from 1 species